UAUAAGCAUCGGGAACUCCGUGCCAGCAGCUCGGUAAUUUAGGGGAUGCAAGCGUUAUCCGGAAUCAUUGGGCGUAAAGCGUCCGUAGGUGGCACUUCAAGUCUGCUGUCAAAGACCGAAGCUCAACUUCGGGUCGGCGGUGGAAACUGAAGAGCUAGAGUAUAGUAGGGGUAGAGGGAAUUCCUAGUGUAGCGGUGAACUGCGUACAGAUUAUGAAGACCACCAGUGGCGAAGGGGCUCUACUGGGCAUAUACUGACACUGAGGGACGAAAGCGACGGUAGCGAAAGGGAAUAUUUACCCCAGAAUUC
rnacentral:rRNA from 1 species